CAAUACGGAGGGUGCAAGCGUUAAUCGGAAUUACUGGGCGUAAAGCGCAUGCAGGUGGUUGUUAAGUCAGAUGUGAAAGCCCUGGGCUCAACCUAGGAAUCGCAUUUGAAACUGACAAGCUAGAGUACUGUAGAGGGGGGUAGAAUUUCAGGUGUAGCGGUGAAAUGCGUAGAGAUCUGAAGGAAUACCGGUGGCGAAGGCGGCCCCCUGGACAGAUACUGACACUCAGAUGCGAAAGCGUGGGAGCAAACAGGAUUAGAUACCCUGGUAGUCCACGCCGUAAACGAUGUCUACUUGGAGGUUGUGCCCUAGAGGUGUGGCUUUCGGAGCUAACGCGUUAAGUAGACCGCCUGGGGAGUACGGUCGCAAGAUUAAAACUCAAAUGAAUUGACGGGGGCCCGCACAAGCGGUGGAGCAUGUGGUUUAAUUCGAUGCAACGCGAAGAACCUUACCUACUCUUGACAUCCAGAGAAUCUAGCGGAGACGCUGGAGUGCCUUCGGGA
rnacentral:rRNA from 1 species